rnacentral:rRNA from 1 species
UAAUAAUAUAAUUUAAUUUAUUUAGUGUUAAUUAAUUUAUAAUAACAGAAUUUGAAAUUAAAAUUUAUUAGGUGAAAUUUAUAAAUUUUUAAAAAAUUUAUUGUUUUUAAUGAGGUUAGAAAAUUUAAUUUAUAAACUAGGAUUAGAUACCCUAUUAUUUUAAACGUGAUUUUUAAACUAAAUUAGUAUUAGCUAUGUUCUUGAAAAUUAAAAAUUUUGGCGGUAUUUUAGUCUAUUCAGAGGAACUUGUUCUAUAAUUGAUAAUCCACGAUUUUAUUGACUUUUUUUAUUAGUUUGUAUAUCGUCGUAGUUUGAAUAUUUUAUAAGAAUAGCAAUAUUCAAGAUUUUAUAUAAAAAGAUAAAUCAGAUCAAGGUGCAGUUUAUAGGAAAGUAGGAAUGAGUUACAAUAAAAUAAUUUUAGGAUUAUUAUUUAUAAAGUAAUAUGAAUUUGGAUUUGAGAGUAAAUUUAAUUAAUUAAUUAAAUUGAUUUUAGCUCUAAAAU